rnacentral:rRNA from 1 species
CUGCGCGGAAGAUGUAACGGGGCUAAACCAUGCACCGAAGCUGCGGCAGCGACACUAUGUGUUGUUGGGUAGGGAGCGUUCUGUAAGCCUGCGAAGGUGUGCUGUGAGGCAUGCUGGAGGUAUCAGAAGUGCGAAUGCUGACAUAAGUAACGAUAAAGCGGGUGAAAAGCCCGCUCGCCGGAAGACCAAGGGUUCCUGUCCAACGUUAAUCGGGCAGGUGAGUCGACCCUAAGGCGAGGCCGAAAGGCGUAGUCGAUGGGAAACAGGUUAAUAUUCCUGUACUUGGUGUUACUGCGAAGGGGGGACGGAGAAGGCUAUGUUAGCCGGGCGACGGUUGUCCCGGUUUAAGCAUGUAGGCUGGUUAUCCAGGCAAAUCCGGAUAAUCAAGGCUGAGGUGUGAUGACGAGGCACUACGGUGCUGAAGUAACAA